rnacentral:tRNA from 1 species
AUAAUUUGAGCGUUAGUAGAAAAACUUAUUAAAUGCUAGCUUUCAGAUUCAGGGAAACUUAGGUUGAUAAAAAUAUAAGCAAUCCUGAGCCAAAUCUUAUUUCACUUAAAAAUAAGAUAGGUGCAGAGACUCAAUGGAAGCUAUCCUAACGAAUAAUAUUUUUAAAAUUUUAUUUUUUAAAUAUUAAACGAGGAUAAAGAUAGAGUCCAAUUUUACAUGUUAAUCUUAGCAACAAUUUAAAUUGUAGUAAAAAGAAAAUCCGUUGGCUUUAUUGACCGUGAGGGUUCAAGUCCCUCUACCCCCA